UCCCAGACUCCUACGGGAGGCAGCAGUGAGGAAUAUUGGUCAAUGGGCGGGAGCCUGAACCAGCCAAGCCGCGUGAGGGAAGAAGGUACAGCGUAUCGUAAACCUCUUUUGUCAGGGAACAAAGGCGGGGACUAGUCCCCGGAUGAGGGUACCUGAAGAAAAAGCAUCGGCUAACUCCGUGCCAGCAGCCGCGGUAAUACGGAGGAUGCGAGCGUUAUCCGGAUUUAUUGGGUUUAAAGGGUGCGUAGGCGGAUUUUUAAGUCAGCGGUAAAAUGUCCGGGCUCAACCCGGGCCGGCCGUUGAAACUGGGGAUCUUGAGUGGGCGAGAAGUAUGCGGAAUGCGUGGUGUAGCGGUGAAAUGCAUAGAUAUCACGCAGAACUCCGAUUGCGAAGGCAGCAUACCGGCGCCCGACUGACGCUGAGGCACGAAAGCGUGGGGAUCGAACAGGAUUAGAUACCCCCGUACCA
rnacentral:rRNA from 1 species